CUGCAGCUUAAAUCAGUGAUUGCCUGCCAGACCCAGCAGCAUUUCGCUUUUGCAUCGCUGCUAGAGGAAUCAACCGGCGAGUUCAUCAGCUGAGCGGUGUCUUUUUUUUUCCUCCGGAUGCGCUCUUCUAAAAUCUCGUCUACA
rnacentral:snoRNA from 1 species